ACUGUACCAGUUCUUCAAUACCUCUGCUCCGAGCGUACCAGCCGGAGAUCAAUUUGCAUACGGCGAGUGAGACCCGUGUAGAAGCAGUGAAGGUGCCAUAACUGCCUGGCAGGGUGCCGGAUCGUGUGGAGCGGGGAAGAUGUUCUGACGAGAUCGGCCUUUUGGGCUGGUCUCUGACGUCCGUCGCUCAUGGAGCCAGCGAGCGUCACAAUUGCCGCCCUUACGGGCUUCGCGACUGGUUAGAUUAAUGGCUUAGUCGCGUGGACCAUGGGCUCUCUGGGGAGGUUCUAGGCCCAAUGGCUGAACUUUACCCCUAGGGUUGACGAGAGAAAGGUUGAUUAACUCUGGUAAAAUGAGCAACUACCAGAGGGGGUUCGAGAGCUUCGGCUCGCUAGCAAUGCCCGCCCAUUAGGUGCGCAGUGACGUAUGUCACUCCUAGGGUGUGGUGCCGAACCGGCGGGGGCUCACGUCCCGACUUCGGUCAAAUGAGAAAACGUAUAUCCAGUCCGAGUAGUCUGCUCUCCCCUGAUGGAGGCCAACCUGAACUUAGACGUGAAGUGGGCCCGGUGUCGCUACCCGGCAAGUCUCGUUACGGCGGUUCUCGUCGUUUCGUUGGUGCGUUGGGAAUCAGGGCGGGGCUAAGAGGCCUGUAGCGCCCAAGUUUUCUUUGAGUAGAAUGGUAGCCGCAAGCGUCCGUCGAUGGAACAGGAGCCUGCGAAGCAGGGUGACAUAGCUCGGUUGCUACGGAUCCUUUAACCGGUGUGCUUUUCGCGUGGAAUGGCACAAUACCGGCGUGGUGAUGGCUUCAGAAACUAACCAUUUUUGAAGUAAAAGUACUGGAUUACCGUUAGCCAAAUGCCUCGUCAUCUAAUUAGUGACGCGCAUGAAUGGAUUAACGAGAUUCCCACUGUCCCUAUCAACUAUCUAGCGAAACCACAGCCAAGGGAACGGGCUUGGCAAAAUCAGCGGGGAAAGAAGACCCUGUUGAGCUUGACUCUAGUCUGACUCUGUGA
rnacentral:ncRNA from 1 species